rnacentral:rRNA from 1 species
CAUGUCUUUUUGAGUUUAAUUUAAAGUCUGAUCUGCUCAAUGAAAGUUAAAUAGCCGCAGUAUUUUAACUGUGCAAAGGUAGCAUAAUAAUUAGUUUCUUGAUUAGGGACUAGAAUGAAUGAUUGUACAAGAAGGUGACUGUCUCUUUUUUAAAUUUUUUGAAUUUUAUUUUUAAGUGAAAAAGCUUAAAUUUUUAUAAAAGACGAGAAGACCCUAUAGAGUUUAAUAUUAUCAAUUAAAUUAAUUUUAGAAAUAAAUUUUACUUGAUUUUAUUUGGUUGGGGUGAUUUAAAGAUAUAAAGAAUUCUUUAAUUAAUAAAUUAGUGAUAUCUAAAUUUUAAAUCUGUAUUUGAUAAAAAUAAAAUAAAUUACCUUAGGGAUAACAGCGUAAUUUUUCUUAAAAGUUCAUAUUAAAAGGAAAGUUUGCGACCUCGAUGUUGGAUUAAAAUUAAUUUUAGGUGCAAUAACUUAAAAAUUAGGUCUGUUCGACCAUUAAAAUUUUACAUGAUCUGAGUUUAAAUCGGCGUGAGCCAGGUUGGAUUCUAUCUUUAGAAUGUUAAUAUAUUUUAGUACGAAAGGACCAAAUAUUUAUUAAAUUAAUU